rnacentral:rRNA from 1 species
AUUGAACGCUGGCGGCAGGCCUAACACAUGCAAGUCGAACGGUAGCACAGAGAGCUUGCUCUCGGGUGACGAGUGGCGGACGGGUGAGUAAUGUCUGGGAAACUGCCUGAUGGAGGGGGAUAACUACUGGAAACGGUAGCUAAUACCGCAUAAUGUCGACAACGAACCAAAGGGACGGGGUACCGUUCGGGUCCUUCUUCGCCACUCGAAGAUGUCGCCCAGAGUGGGUAGUUA